GCUAAACGCGAAGAACCUUACCCACACUUGACAUGCCUCUUUUGGCUUUCAGAGAUGAUUGCCUUCGGUUCGGCCGGGAGUGCACAGGUGCUGCAGGGCUGUCGUCAGCUCGUGUCGUGAGAUGUUGGGUUAAGUCCCGCAACGAGCGCAACCCUUAUCGUAUGUUGCCAGCAUUUAGUUGGGCACUCGUGCGAGACUGCCGGUGAUAAGCCGGAGGAAGGCGGGGACGACGUCAAGUCAUCAUGGCCCUUACGUGUGGGGCUACACACGUGCUACAAUGGUCGGUACAGUGGGAAGCAAUACCGCAAGGUGGAGCAAAUCCUCAAAGCCGUCCUCAGUUCGGAUUGGAGGCUGCAACUCGCCUCCAUGAAGCUGGAAUCGCUAGUAAUCGUAGAUCAGAAUUCAC
rnacentral:rRNA from 1 species